CCUACGGGUGGCAGCAGUGGGGAAUAUUGCACAAUGGGGGAAACCCUGAUGCAGCAACGCCGCGUGAGUGAAGAAGUAUUUCGGUAUGUAAAGCUCUAUCAGCAGGGAAGAAGAUGACGGUACCUGAGUAAGAAGCCCCGGCUAACUACGUGCCAGCAGCCGCGGUAAUACGUAGGGGGCAAGCGUUAUCCGGAUUUACUGGGUGUAAAGGGAGCGUAGACGGUGAGACAAGUCUGAAGUGAAAGCCUGGGGCUCAACCCCGGGACUGCUUUGGAAACUGCCUGACUGGAGUGCUGGAGAGGCAAGCGGAAUUCCUGGUGUAGCGGUGAAAUGCGUAGAUAUCAGGAGGAACAUCGGUGGCGAAAGCGCUUUACUGGACCAUUAUUGACGCUGAGGAACGAAAGCCAGGGGAGCAAAUGGGAUUAGAUACCCGGGUAGUC
rnacentral:rRNA from 1 species